GGCCUUUAAUCCCAGGAACACCAUCCCUACCAUGAAGCAUGGUGAUGGUAGUAUUAUGCUCUGGACCUGUUUUGCUGCCAAUGGAACUGGUGCUUUACAGAGAGUAAAUGGGACAAUGAAAAAGGAGGAUUACCUCCAAAUUCUUCAGGACAACCUAAAAUCAUCAGCCCCAAGGUUGGGUCUUGGGCGCAGUUGGGUGUUCCAACAGGACAAUGACCCCAAACACACGUCAAAAGUGGUAAAGGAAUGGCUAAAUCAGGCUAGAAUUAAGGUUUUAGAAUGGACAAACGUGUGGACAAUGCUGAAGAAACAAGUCCAUGUCAGAAAACCAACCAAUUUAGCUGAACUGCACCAAUUUUGUCAAGAGGAGUGGUCAAUAAUUCAACCAGAAGCUUGUGGAUGGCUACCAAAAGCGCCUUAUUGCAGUGAAACUUGCCAAGGGACAUGUAAGCAAAUAUUAACAUUGCUGUAUGUAUACUUUUGACCCAGCACAUUUGCUCACAUUUCCAGUAGACCCAUAAUAAAUUCAUAAAAGUACCAAACUCCAUGAAUUGUUGCGUAGGCGGAGCCUCCCACAUCACUUGCUGCCCAGUACAUGACUGACUAGUCCGGGGGUCGGCAACCCGCGGCUCUAGAGCCGCAUGCGGCUCUUUAGCGCCGCCCUAGUGGCUCUCUGGAGAUUUUUCAAAAAUGUAUGAAGAAUGGAAAAAGAUGAGGGGAAAAAAAUCUAUUUUUUUGUUUUAGUAUGGUUUCUGUAGGAGGACAAACAUGACACAAACCUCUCUAAUUGUUAUAAAUCACACUGUUUAUAUUAAACAUGCUUCACUGAUUCGAGUAUUUGGCGAGCGCCGUUUUGUCCUACUUAUUUUGGCGGUCCUUGAACUCACCGUAUAGUUUGUUUACUUGUAUAACUUUCUCCGACUUUCUAGGACGUGUUUUAUGCCACUUCUUUUUCUGUCUCAUUUUGUCCACCACCCUUUUAACGUUGUGCGUGAGUGCACAAAGCCCGUGGCGAUGAGCAGCUGAUCGUAACGCUGCACAGAGCCGUCGUCAAACGUCACCGUCUUCUUGUCCGUGUCCACAGACACCGCCUGCACAGCCAGAGUCCGAUUCAAGACACACGGCCUGGACCAGCUCCCCUGACAAGUCUUCUUGAUCAGAGUCUACAAAGUCCUGAGGCGGAGGCGCCCGGCUUUGUGUGCAAAACGCUGAGCAGGCAGGCGUCACUCUGAAUGGAGACGAACAAAGACCGACCUGCACGCUUUGGUACCGACCUCGUUUCAAGAUGCUCACCACCUGCAUUAAGGUGGACCACGUGACAACGGAUGCAGCAACACGUCAGUGAAGGCAAGAAAAAUAACAUCUGCAUCCUCUGAAUCGAAUCGUUAACCCCAAAAAUCGAAUUGAAUCGAGUCGGGUGGUGCCCAAAGAUUCACAGCUAAUUAGAGAUGUCCGAUAAUAUCGGCCUGCCGAUAUUAUCAGCCGAUAUAUGCGUUAAAAUGUAAUAUCGGAAAUUAUCGGUAUCGGUUUUUUUAUUAUCGAUAUCGGGUUGGUUUUUUUUGGGGUUUUUUGGGGUUUUUUUUUUUUAUUAAAUCAACAUAAAAAACACAAGAUACACUUACAAUUAGUGCACCAACCCAAAAAACCUCCCUCCCCCAUUUACACUCAUUCACACAAAAGGGUUGUUUCUUUCUGUUAUUAAUAUUCUGCU